rnacentral:rRNA from 1 species
UGGGGAAUAUUGGACAAUGGGGGCAACCCUGAUCCAGCCAUGCCGCGUGUGUGAAGAAGGCCUUAGGGUUGUAAAGCACUUUCAGUGGGGAGAAAGGUGAUUCACCUAAUACGUGAGUCAAUUGAUGCUACCCACAGAAGAAGCACCGGCUAACUCCGUGCCAGCAGCCGCGGUAAUACGGAGGGUGCAAGCGUUAAUCGGAAUUACUGGGCGUAAAGCGCACGUAGGUGGUUUGUUAAGCCAGCUGUGA